CAGAGGCCGUCUGGCGAUCCGACCACGUUGUCCCGCUCGCCGCGGUGGCCCCCGCUGGACUCCACCUGAACCCGGUCCGGGGAUCAGUGACACGCGUCCUAUUGGAUGCACAUCGGAAACCGCAAACAAAAGGCACGUCGUCGCAAGCGAGGAACGCCACGAUGUCAGCGGUAACUCCGGGAUCACGCAAACACCCCAAGACCAAGAUGGCGACUCCACCGAUGCCGAAAUCAAGUCAAAUUAAAACUGAAGCCCGUUCUUCCGGCGAACAAUGUGACUCAUCAUCUGCUAGGUUCACAUCUACAUAGCAAUUAAUCUCAUUUGGCUAAUGCCUCCGCAUCAUCAGCAGAGGCAAAAGAACGCCUCCUGACCCCAAUUAUGAGCAGGAAAUACAGAGAGAACCUGCCAGGUGGGGAUUGCUCUCCUGCCUGACUUCAGUGAGC
ensembl:lncRNA